CUACGGGGGGCAGCAGUGGGGGAUAUUGCACAAUGGGGGAAACCCUGAUGCAGCGACGCCGCGUGGGUGAAGAAGCGCCUCGGCGCGUAAAGCUCUAUCAGCAGGGAAGAAAAUGACGGUACCUGACUAAGAAGCCCCGGCUAACUACGUGCCAGCAGCCGCGAUAAUACGUAGGGGGCAAGCGUUAUCCGGAUUUACUGGGUGUAAAGGGAGCGUAGACGGUGAUGCAAGUCAGAAGUGAAAGCCCGCGGCUCAACUGCGGGACUGCUUUUGAAACUGUAUAACUAGAGUGCAGGAGAGGGAAG
rnacentral:rRNA from 1 species